rnacentral:rRNA from 1 species
GACGAACGCUGGCGGCGUGCCUAACACAUGCAAGUCGAGCGGAGUCGAUCGACGGAAGCCUUCGGGCGGAAGAUGGUUGACUUAGCGGCGGAUGGGUGAGUAACGCGUGGGCAACCUGCCUCGAAGACCGGGAUAACAGCCCGAAAGGGCUGCUAAUACCGGAUGUGGUCAAGGAUCCGCAUGGAUUUUUGAUUAAAGGGGAAACCCGUUUCGAGAUGGGCCCGCGUCCUAUCAGCUAGUUGGUGAGGUAAAAGCUCACCAAGGCGACGACGGGUAGCCGGCCUGAGAGGGUGACCGGCCACACUGGAACUGAGACACGGUCCAGACUCCUACGGGGGCAGCAGUGGGGAAUCUUCCACAAUGGGCGAAAGCCUGAUGGAGCGACGCCGCGUGAGCGAAGAAGGCCUUCGGGUUGUAAAGCUCUGUCUGGAGGGACGAAGGAAGUAGACGGUACCUCCGGACGGAAGCCGACGGCUAACUACGUGCCAGCAGCCGCGGUAAACACGAGAGUACGGAGCGGGCGUGGCG